UGGGGAAUAUUGCACAAUGGGCGCAAGCCUGAUGCAGCCAUGCCGCGUGUGUGAAGAAGGCCUUCGGGUUGUAAAGCACUUUCAGCGGGGAGGAAGGCGAUAAGGUUAAUAACCUUGUCGAUUGACGUUACCCGCAGAAGAAGCACCGGCUAACUCCGUGCCAGCAGCCGCGGUAAUACGGAGGGUGCAAGCGUUAAUCGGAAUUACUGGGCGUAAAGCGCACGCAGGCGGUCUGUCAAGUCGGAUGUGAAAUCCCCGGGCUCAACCUGGGAACUGCAUUGGAAACUGGCAGGCUAGAGUCUUGGAGAGGGGGGUAGAAUUCCAGGUGUAGCGGUGAAAUGCGUAGAGAGCUGGAGGAAUACCGGUGGCGAAGGCGGCCCCCUGGACAAAGACUGACGCUCAGGUGCGAAAGCGUGGGGAGCAAACAGG
rnacentral:rRNA from 1 species